rnacentral:rRNA from 1 species
CCAUAGUAGCGGCGAGCGAAAUGGGAAGAGGCCAAACGAUCAUGCUUGCAUGAUCGGGUUGUAGGACUCAAGAAUGGACGAUUGUUGUUAGUUGAACACGUUGGAGAGCGUGGCCAAAGAAGGUGACAGCCCUGUAGGCGAAAACAACAUGAACCAAUGAGGAUCCUGAGUACGGCGGAACACGAGAAAUUCCGUCGGAAUCAGCCGGGACCAUCCGGCAAGCCUAAAUACUACCUAGUGACCGAUAGUGAACCAGUACCGUGAGGGAAAGGUGAAA